UGUAGACUGGGUGGGUCUCACCCUCCUGAUGCCCUCAAGGCGCCCUCUCAGCCCCGCGUCCCCGGCCUGCAGCGGUGCAGCCAAAGCCCGGACCUCUGCCCGCCCCAAACCCGCCAUGACCACCGGCCGCCUUUUACCUAGCGUCAGCAGCACCGCAAGAACCGCCACCACUACUGACAACAGCGUUGGGUCCGUCUGCUGCAGCUCCUGCCGCAAGGUGUCUAGGUAGGGCUGGAAGGUGCCCCCGGCACCGCCGCCAUCUGCCACCCGGCGCGAGUCCGCGGAAGCCAUGGAUGAGACGCGUGGUCCCCGGUACAGCAAAAGCGACGUGGCCCUGCACUCUGCGCAGGCGCGGGGAGCAGAGCCUCACGCGAAUGGUGGUUCCUAAGCCAUAGUCUCUCCCUCAGCCGCGGCGAUCCCCCAAGUGCUUGAUGGGAGUUGUAGUUCUCUGGGACUCCGUCCUCCUACAGAACGAUAGGGGCAGACAGGUUAUUUGUCGAGGGACACACACAUCUUUUAAGAGAUGAGUCAGUCGUCGUCACCUACGUUAUGACUGUUGAAAGAAUGAUGAAAUGAAUAAAAUGAAUGAAUGGCUCCCGAAACUACCACUGAGGAGUUCCCGACCGUCGCUAAGUGACGUGAGACUUGUGAAGAACUCAAGCAUCCUACAAACAUUUAAUCUGAAUUUAAUGUGACAAGGGAUGUGACAGAUGGAUGUACGGAGCGAUGUGGGAAUACAUAAUGGGACGCGGAGUCCAUCAUGAGUUCAGAGAAAAGCUUCUGGACAUUGGAAUUGAGUCCUGAAGAAUGAGUUAGCAUCUGCGAGUGGUUAAAGGAAAAAAAGGUGCUGUGCAGAAGAAAAUGAGUGUAAGAAACGAUGUAUGUGGGAACCCUAAGUAAUUCAGUGCCCCUACACUGUCAAUCUAGGGCUGCAAACUCAAAUGUCUGCAUUAAAGGAAGCAACUAGGAAAAUCAACGCCCAGGAGAGCUGGGGCUGUUGAAAACUGCAGGAGGUAUUUCUGCUGAAAGUAGGGCCGACCCUAUUCAGCCAGAAAAAUCACUGGAUAUUACCAUUAGACCUCCUGACUGGGGACCAAAGAUGCAGGGAAGAAGGAAGAGCCAGACACGGAGAGUUCCAACCGUAACUGUCUUAACUCGCUGAGGAUAUUUGGUCAGAGCUAUGUGAAUGAAGAGGGCUGCCGUGGUGGUGAAGUUGGGAAAGGAAGAAAAAAGGUUCAAGAAAAGAGACUUUUUUUCUUCAGUAUGUUUCCUGGGCAGAAGAAAUGUGCACAGCUCCCACACUCAGUGAGAAGUUAGCACUCCCAUUCUCAGGAAUGAGCAGGAGGGGUGAGAUUAGUUGCUUCCCUGUACUCACCCAUCUCCAUCAGGAGCUCCGUGGGCACGAAUGCAGAGGAAGGACAUGCGAUACUGACUGCUGCCUGCUGAUAAGUUUUUAGUUCUUGAUUCCAAUAGCAGAUGGAAAGUUACAAUGAAACCAGUUGUAGUCAGGGAAUUUUUCUCUUCUCUUCCAUAAACUAAAAUGUCCCAUUCACCAGACACCUUCUUCCAUCCGCUCCCCAAAGCUCCAAUGUACAAUGGAACAUACCUCAGACCUAGGGAUACCAAUCAUGGGAUUCCCCUGCUAUGGCUUUGUUUAAAAAAACGUUUAGAGGAUUUUUAAAAACAGAAUUUAACACAUGCUUAUUAUAUUAAAAACUCAAGCAAUAAUGAAAGCCACAAAUCACCUCUAUUUUUCUACCUAUAGUAUCUGAUAAAUAUUUAAGACAUUCCUCUGUACAUAUGUACUAAUAAGAAGGCUGUAUGGAUAAGAGCAGUAAAUACAAACGAACACGUUAUUUUUAAAGAGAUUAUAGUAUGCACCUCUGUAUUCCCCAUCCCUGAACAGUACUUGGCUCAUGGGAGGCACUGGUCAACUGUUGAAUGAAUGAUCCCAGGCCUACUGUGUCCAUUGCUGUGCCCCAGGCUCCUGUCUGACAUCCUCCUGCUUCACAUCCCUGCCUUAGCGGGUUUGAGGACAUGUCACCCUAGCCUACCAAAUUUAAUUUCUAAUUUUAGCUUCUCAGAAAGUAGAAUCUGCUGGUAAGAAUAAUUACAUCUGAAUAGAGGCACCAUUUAGGAUUUUCUCUAACAUCAUUCAAUAUUCUUCGUCAGAUACAAGUAGGAUCAGUCCCCUAUAUCCAUCAGUCACACUUAGUCCACAGACAUCUGGCCAGGCAGCUUGGGCAGCUCCCUCCAGUCCCUUAAAGGAUGGAAGGGGAGAAAGGUGAGUCCACUGGAAACACAAGAGGUCCUGACAAAGAGCUCCACUUCAGAGCUGACUCACUCACUUGAUUGCACCAUAUCUAAGCUUAUUCAGCUCUGAUACUUUGGACAGUCCCACAGCAUACAUUGUACAAUGUAAUCAUUCAUUUUUCAGGUGUAGGCAUAGGGAAGGUCUGGCUCUAUACCAAAACUGCUGGCUCUUAGCAGGCACCCAGUUUGCACUUAUUUAAAUGACUUGAUCUGGGAAGGAAACACCCGGAGGUCCUAGGUGGUCCCUAUCUGCUGAUGGAGCAGCACAGAGAACAAAUGAUGUCUUAACCUUUUGAGACCAAGGAGGGGGAUUUAAGGCCAGGCCAGAUUACAGCCCUGAGCCUCAGUCAUAGGCUGCCUGGUACUACAGAGGAACAGUGCCACACUUCUAGGUUCGUCCCUGGGGGAAGAAGGAAGAUGAUGUCAGCCACAGCUGUCCUGGCUUUACUGAAAGCGUGCUGUCAUUACUGCUCGCUGGCAUGUGGAAGUGCACAUGCUGGCGUUACAGUGACGUAGAUGAGAAGAGGAACCAUGGUGUUCUACAAGGGAACAUUCCAUUCAACUUCUGUUCAUCCUUCCCAGCCUUUUCCACCCAAUGGCACUUUUUCCUUCACAUUCAAGGAUAACUUUUUGUCUGUUAAACACAGAAGGGGUCUCUUCUACUUCUAAAUCCUUCUUGAUAUUAACAGAAUCUAGCUGGGACCUUUGGAGAAUUAUCUGGGCAUACUUUCCUUAGACCUUAAAAUACACAAUUGCAUAAUACCAGGAACUGCAAAAUUCAGAUUAUUUUACUAUUAAACUUCUCCCCGAGAGCCACUUGAAAAAAGUAAUUGAGGUAAUAGAUCUUCAUUUUGAGAAGUUGAAUGGUACAUAAAAAUGCAAAAUUAAAAUAAUUAUUUUUUUCUCUGUCCUUCCAAGGCUACUGCUCAUAUGUAACUGUCCUUUCACACACACGCAAGCAUAUAUGUUCAUGUUUUUAUUCAAAUAU
ensembl:lncRNA novel transcript, antisense to SRPRB